rnacentral:lncRNA from 1 species
AUGACCGCUGAGCCCAUGAGCGAAAGCAAGUUGAAUACAUUGGUGCAGAAGCUUCAUGACUUUCUGGCACACUCAUCAGAGGAAUCUGAAGAAACAAGUUCUCCUCCAAGACUUGUGAUGAACCAAAGCACAGAUAAAGUCAGUGGGUCUGGCAAUAACUCUGAUAUGAUGGAAAACAGCAGGGAAGAGGGAGCUAGCUCUGCAGAAAAAUCCAAAUCGUCAGGAUCCUCACGAUCAAAGAGGAAACCUUCAAUUGUAACAAAGUAUGUAGAAUCUGAUGAUGAAAAACCUUUGGAUGAAACUGUAAAUGAAGAUGCUUCUAAUGAAAAUUCAGAAAAUGAUAUUACUAUGCAAAGCUUGCCAAAAGGUACAGUGAUUGUACAACCAGAGCCAGUGCUGAAUGAAGACAAAGAUGAUUUUAAAGGGCCUGAAUUUAGAAGCAGAAGUAAAAUGAAAACUGAAAAUCUCAAAAAACGCGGAGAAGAUGGGCUUCAUGGGAUUGUGAGCUGUACAGCUUGUGGACAACAGGUCAAUCAUUUUCAAAAAGAUUCCAUUUAUAGACAUCCUUCACUGCAAGUACUUAUUUGUAAGAAUUGCUUUAAAUAUUAUAUGAGUGAUGAUAUUAGCCGUGACUCAGAUGGAAUGGAUGAACAGUGUAGAUGGUGUGCAGAAGGUGGAAACUUAAUUUGUUGUGACUUUUGCCAUAAUGCCUUCUGUAAGAAGUGCAUUCUUCGCAACCUUGGUCGAAAGGAGCUGUCUACAAUAAUGGAUGAAAACAACCAAUGGUAUUGCUACAUUUGCCACCCAGAGCCUUUGUUGGACUUGGUCACGGCAUGUAACAGCGUAUUUGAAAACUUAGAACAGUUGUUGCAACAAAAUAAGAAGAAGAUAAAAGUUGACAAUGAAAAGACUAGUAAAGUAUAUGAGCAUGCACCCAGAUUUUCUCCAAAGAAAAACAGUUCAAAUUGUAAUGGAGAAGAAAAGAAGUUAGAUGAUUCAUAUUCUGGUUCUGUAACCUACUCUUAUUCAGCACUAAUUGUGCCCAAGGACAUGAUUAAGAAGGCAAAAAAACUGAUUGAGACUACUGCCAACAUGAAUUCCAGUUACAUUAAAUUUUUGAAGCAGGCAACAGAUAAUUCAGAAAUCAAUUCUGCUACAAAGUUACGUCAGCUUAAGGCUUUUAAGUCUGUGUUGGCUGAUAUCAAGAAAGCUCAUCUUGCAUUAGAAGAAGAUUUGAAUUCAGAGAUUCAAGCUUUGGAUGCUGUAAACAAAGAGAAAAAUACCGAAGAGCAUAAAGUCAUAGAUGCUAAGUCUGAAACAAAAGUAAGAAAAGGAGAAAAACCUUGUGUUUUGGAAAGGAAGGAUAUUUCAAAAUCAGAAGUUCCAGAAGACAUUUUUGAAAAUCUUGAGACUGCUAUGGAAGUUCAGAGUUCAUCAGAGUAUCAGGGAGAUGGCAACAGUGGAACUGAACAAGAACUGGAGACUUCUAUAAAAUUAAAUAUUACUUCAAAAGACAACAGAGGAGGUGCUGAUUGUCAGGAAGUUCCACAAGAUAAAGAUAGCUAUAAAAGUUCUUGUCUGAACCCUAAGCCAGAGAACUGUGAACUUGAACAGGAAAAGAAUGAUAAUGAGCAUUUGGCUAAAAGUGAAGUUCCGUUACUUUCAGAAGAAUCUGAUCUUCGAAGAUCCCCGCGUGUAAAGACUACACCUUUGAGGCGACAGACAGAAACCAACCGUACAACAUCUAAUUCAGAUGAAGAAAAUAAUGAAACAGUUAAGGAGCAACAAAAACUUACAGUUCCAAUGAGAAAAAAGGAUAAGCGGAAUUCUUCUGACAGUGCUAUAGAUAAUCCUAAACCUAAUAAAUUGCCUAAAUCUAAGCAGUCAGAGAUUGUGGAUCACAUUUCAGAUUCUGAAGAAAUGCUGGCAAUCCUCAAAGACGUGCCCAGUAUGAGUCACAGUUCUUCAGAUACUGAUAUUAAUGAACCUCAUACAAAUAACAAGAAGACUUUUUACUCAGAGAUUCAAAGAGGGAAAGAUGAUAAAAGAAAAAGGAAACGAAAAAGUUCUACUUCUGGCUCAGAUUUUGAUAUUAAGAAAGGUAAAUCAGUUAAAAAGUCUAUAAUUUCUAAAAAGAAACGGCAAAACCAGUCUGAAUCUUCUAAUUAUGACUCAGAAUUAGAAAAAGAGAUAAAGAGAAUGAGUAAAAUUGGGACUGCCAGAACAACCAAAAAAAGAGUUCCAAAUAAAGAAGAUUAUGAUUCUUCUGAAGAUGAAAAACACAACAAACAAGGAAUGGAUAAUCAAGGUCAUAAAAGUUUGAGGACUGCACAGGAAGGAUCAUCUGAUGAUGCUGAAAGGAAACAAGAGAGAGAGAAUUUCUCUUCAGCAGAAGGCACAGUUGAUAAAGACAAGACCAACAUGGAAUUGAGAGAUUGCCUCUCUAAGAAGCAGCAGCCUGAUGUUUCCUCAGAGAGUGCUGAUAAGCUUUGUUCUGGGAAAGAGGAGAGUUUUAAUUCUCCAGAAGAUAAAAAGUUUGCUGAAUCUAAAGGAAAGAGUAAGCACCAGCGAACCAGAAUGUGUAAGAAAAUACUGGGUGGCUUAUGUGAUGUUGCUGAGAAGUUCUCAGAGAAAGAACAGAGUGAUGAAUCCUCUGAAGAUGAUAACGAGCAGAGCAAAAAGGAAAUUGAAGAAAAAGAAAAGAAGACUGCAGACUUGAGUGAAAAAGUGAUGGAACAAGAGUAUGAAUCAUCAUCUGAUACUACUGAGAAAUUACCUGAGGGAGAAGAAAUUUGUCACUUUCCUAAAAGGAUAAAACAAAAUAAGAGCUCAGCUGAUGGGGAAAAGAAAUGCAAAAAAAGAAAAGAUAAAGCUUCUAAAAAGAAGGGUGAAUUAUCUGAUAAUUCUGAGAAGUUACCAGGGAAAAGAGAAAGUUGUGAUUCUUCAGAAGAUAAGAGGAGUAAGAAUGGAACAUCGAGUAGAGAGAAGAAAAGGUUCAACUUGCCUGAAAAGAGUUCGAGGAAGAGACAGGAUUGUUCAUCAUCUGAUACUGAAAAAUAUUCCAUGAAGGAAGAUGGCUGUGAUUUUUCUGAUAAGAGACCAAAAAGAAUAGAAUUAAGGGAAAGAAGGAAUUUAAAUUCAAAUAGAAAUAGCAAGGAAGUACAAAGUGGCUCAUCAUCUUCUGAUGUUGAGGAAAGUUCUGAAGAUAAUAAAAACCUGAAGAAACAAAGAACUUCAGCUAAAAAGAAGGCAGGCAGUAUGAAGGAGAAAAUGAGAAACUCCUUGAGAACAAGCACUAAAAGGAAGCAGGCUGACAUUACUUCCUCAUCUUCUUCUGAUAUAGGAGAUGAUGAUCAGAAAUCUGUAGGUGAGGGGAGCAGUGAUGAGCAGAAAAUUAAGCCUGUGACUGAAAAUUUAGUGCUGUCGUCACAUACUGGAUUUUGUCAAUCUUCAGGAGACGAAGCCUUAUCUAAAUCAGUGCCUGUCACAGUGGAUGAUGACGACGAUGACAAUGAUCCUGAAAAUAGAAUUGCCAAGAAGAUGCUUUUAGAAGAAAUUAAAGCCAAUCUUUCCUCCGAUGAGGAUGGAUCUUCAGAUGAGUCAGAAGAAGGGAAGAAAAGAACUGGAAAACACAAUGAAGAAAACCCUGGAGAUGAGGAAGUAAAAAAUCAAGCCAUUUCUGAAUCAGAUUCAGAUUCUGAAGAAUCUAAGAAGCCAAGAUACAGACAUAGGCUUUUGAGACACAAGCUGAGUCUGAGUGAUGGAGAAUCUGGAGAAGAAAAAAAGAUGAAGCCUAAAGAGCACAAAGAAGCCAAAAGCAGAAAUAGAAGGAAGGUGAGUAGUGAAGAUUCUGAAGAUUCUGAUUUUCAGGAAUCUGGAGUUAGUGAAGAAGUUAGUGAAUCUGAAGAUGAACAACGGCCCAGAACAAGAUCUACGAAGAAAGCAGAGUUGGAAGAAAAUCAGAGAAGUUACAAACAGAAGAAGAAAAGGCGACGCAUUAAGGUUCAAGAAGACUCAUCUAGUGAAAACAAGAGUAAUUCUGAAGAAGAUAAAGAAGAAGAUGAAGAAGAAGAUGAAGAAGAAGAUGAAAAUGAUGAUUCGAAGUCUCCUGGAAAAGGCAGAAAGAAAAUUCGGAAGAUUCUUAAAGAUGAUAAGCUAAGAACAGAAACACAAAAUGCUCUUAAGGAAGAAGAAGAGAGGCGAAAACGUAUUGCUGAGAGAGAGCGAGAGCGAGAAAAAUUGAGAGAGGUGAUAGAAAUUGAAGAUGCUUCACCGACUAAGUGUCCAAUAACAACGAAGUUGGUUUUAGAUGAAGAUGAAGAAACCAAAGAACCUUUAGUGCAGGUUCAUAGAAAUAUGGUUAUCAAAUUGAAACCACAUCAAGUAGAUGGUGUUCAAUUUAUGUGGGAUUGCUGCUGUGAGUCUGUUAAAAAAACAAAGAAAUCUCCAGGUUCAGGAUGCAUUCUUGCCCACUGCAUGGGCCUUGGUAAGACUUUACAGGUGGUAAGUUUUCUUCAUACAGUUCUUUUGUGUGACAAAUUGGAUUUCAGCACAGCUUUGGUGGUUUGUCCUCUUAAUACUGCUUUGAAUUGGAUGAAUGAAUUUGAGAAGUGGCAGGAGGGAUUAAAAGAUGAUGAGAAGCUUGAGGUCUCUGAAUUAGCAACUGUGAAACGUCCUCAAGAAAGAAGCUACAUGCUACAGAGGUGGCAAGAAGAUGGUGGUGUUAUGAUCAUAGGCUAUGAGAUGUACAGAAAUCUUGCUCAAGGAAGGAAUGUGAAGAGUAGGAAACUUAAAGAAAUAUUUAACAAAGCAUUGGUUGAUCCAGAUCAUUGCAUGGUUAACUUUAUCAAAGAAAAUUUGCUUGGAUCCAUUAAGGAAUUCAGGAAUCGGUUUAUAAAUCCAAUCCAAAAUGGUCAGUGUGCAGAUUCUACCAUGGUAGAUGUCAGAGUAAUGAAAAAACGAGCUCACAUUCUCUAUGAAAUGUUAGCUGGAUGUGUUCAGAGGAAAGAUUAUACAGCAUUAACAAAGUUUUUGCCUCCAAAGCAUGAGUAUGUUUUAGCUGUGAGAAUGACUCCUAUUCAGUGCAAACUCUAUCAAUACUACUUAGAUCACUUAACAGGUGUAGGUAAUAGCAGUGAAGGCGGAAGAGGAAAGGCCGGUGCAAAACUUUUCCAAGAUUUUCAAAUGUUAAGUAGAAUCUGGACUCACCCAUGGUGUUUGCAGCUGGACUACAUUAGUAAAGAAAAUAAGGGAUAUUUUGAUGAAGACAGUAUGGAUGAAUUUAUAGCUUCAGAUUCCGAUGAAACCUCCAUGAGUUUAAGCUCUGAUGAUUAUACAAAAAAGAAAAAAGCAAAGGGGAAAAAGGGAAAAAAAGAUAGUAGCUCAAGUGGAAGUGGCAGUGACAAUGAUGUUGAAGUGAUUAAAGUCUGGAAUUCAAGAUCUCGAGGAGGUGGUGAAGGAAAUGUGGAUGAAACAGGAAACAAUCCCUCAGUUUCUUUAAAACUGGAAGAAAGUAAAGCUACUUCCUCUUCUAAUCCAAGCAGCCCAGCUCCAGACUGGUACAAAGAUUUUGUUACAGAUGCUGAUGCUGAGGUUUUAGAGCAUUCUGGAAAAAUGGUACUUCUCUUUGAAAUUCUUCGAAUGGCAGAGGAAAUUGGGGAUAAAGUCCUUGUUUUCAGCCAAUCUCUCAUAUCUCUGGACUUGAUUGAAGAUUUUCUUGAAUUGGCUAGUAGAGAAAAGACAGAAGAUAAAGAUAAGCCUCUUAUUUAUAAAGGUGAAGGGAAGUGGCUCAGAAACAUUGAUUAUUAUCGUUUAGAUGGCUCUACAACUGCUCAGUCAAGGAAAAAAUGGGCUGAAGAAUUUAAUGAUGAAACUAAUGUGAGAGGGCGAUUAUUUAUCAUUUCUACCAAAGCAGGAUCUCUUGGAAUUAAUCUGGUAGCUGCUAAUCGAGUGAUUAUAUUUGAUGCUUCUUGGAAUCCAUCUUAUGACAUCCAGAGUAUAUUCAGAGUUUAUCGCUUUGGACAAACUAAACCUGUCUAUGUAUAUAGGUUCUUAGCUCAGGGAACCAUGGAAGAUAAGAUUUAUGAUCGGCAAGUAACUAAGCAGUCACUGUCUUUUCGAGUUGUUGAUCAACAGCAAGUUGAACGUCAUUUUACCAUGAAUGAGCUGACUGAACUUUAUACCUUUGAGCCAGACUUGUUAGAUGACCCUAAUUCAGAAAAGAAGAAGAAAAGGGAUACUCCCAUGCUGCCAAAGGACACCAUACUUGCAGAACUUCUUCAAAUACAUAAAGAACAUAUUGUAGGAUAUCAUGAACAUGAUUCUCUUUUGGACCACAAAGAAGAAGAAGAGUUGACUGAAGAAGAAAGAAAAGCAGCUUGGGCUGAAUAUGAAGCAGAGAAGAAGGGACUGACCAUGCGUUUCAACAUACCAACUGGGACCAAUUUACCCCCUGUCAGUUUUAACUCUCAAACUCCUUAUAUUCCUUUCAAUUUGGGAGCCCUAUCAGCAAUGAGUAAUCAACAGCUGGAGGACCUCAUUAAUCAAGGAAGAGAAAAAGUUGUGGAAGCAACAAACAGUGUGACAGCAGUGAGGAUUCAGCCUCUUGAAGAUAUAAUUUCAGCUGUAUGGAAAGAAAACAUGAAUCUCUCAGAGGCCCAGGUACAGGCAUUAGCAUUAAGUAGACAAGCCAGCCAGGAGCUUGAUGUCAAACGAAGAGAGGCAAUCUACAAUGACGUGUUGACAAAACAACAGAUGUUAAUCAGCUGUGUUCAGCGAAUACUUAUGAACCGAAGGCUCCAGCAACAGUACAAUCAGCAGCAGCAGCAGCAAAUGACUUAUCAACAAGCAACGCUGGGUCACCUCAUGAUGCCAAAGCCUCCGAAUUUAAUCAUGAAUCCUUCUAACUACCAGCAGAUUGAUAUGAGAGGAAUGUAUCAGUCAGUGGCUGGUGGUAUGCAGCCACCACCAUUACAACGUGCACCACCCCCAAUGAGAAGCAAAAAUCCAGGACCUUCCCCAGGGAAAUCAAUGUGAUUUUGCACUAAAAGCUUAAAAGAUUGUUAAAAUCAUAGAAAGAUCUUUUAUUUUUUUAGGAAUCAAUGACUUAACAGAACUCAACUGUAUAAAUAGUUUGGUCCCCUUAAAUGCCAAUCUUCCAUAUUAGUUUAAAAAUUUUUUUUAAUAGGGCAUACCAUUUCUUCCUGACAUUUGUCAGUGAUGUUGCCUAGAAUCUUCUUACACACAUUGAGUACAGAAGAUCUUUCAAAUUGUUUUCAGUGAAAACAAGUCCUUCCAUAACAGUAACAACUCCACAGGUUUCCUCUCUAAAUUUUUAUGCCUGCUUUUAGUGACCAUAAAAUUGUCAUAAAUUAAUGAAUUUAUGAAAGAAUACUGAUUUAUAUAUUCAUUCUUUACAUAUAAAGACACACAGCUGAGUUCUUAGAGUUGAUUCCUCAAGUUAUGGAAUACUUUUGUACUUAUCCAUUUCUUGACUAA